rnacentral:pre_miRNA from 1 species
ACCAUACUCCCUCCGUCCCAAAAUUCUUGUCUUAGAUUAGUCUAGAUACGGAUGUAUCUAAUACUAAAACGUGACUUGAUACAUCCGUAUUUAGACAAAUCUAAGACAAGAAUUUUGGGACGGAGGGAGUACCUU